rnacentral:rRNA from 1 species
AACUGGAGGAAGGUGGGGAUGACGUCAGGUCCUCAUGGCCCUUAUGGGUAGGGCUACACACGUCAUACAAUGGCCGGUACAGAGGGCUGCCAACCCGCGAGGGGGAGCCAAUCCCAGAAAACCGGUCGUAGUCCGGAUCGCAGUCUGCAACUCGACUGCGUGAAGUCGGAAUCGCUAGUAAUCGCGGAUCAGCUUGCCGCGGUGAAUACGUUCCCGGGUCUUGUACACACCGCCCGUCACACCAUGGGAGCGGGUUCUGCCAGAAGUAGUUAGCCUAACCGCAAGGAGGGCGAUUACCACGGCAGGGU